UUAGGAUCAGCGUCGAGGGAUAUGACAUGUCCUUCGAGCACCUGAUCUCUACAUUUCCUUGGAGAACCACUUCAGCUCCUGUGGAACAGUGGAGUUCGUGGAGGUGCCGAGAGAUCCGGUGACCAAGGCCAUUAGCGGCAGGAGUAGCACUGUGGCUCUCCGCGGGGAAGGUGCAGAAGAGAAGGCCUUGGCACUCAACGGAAGUGACUUGGGAGGAUGGAGAGCGUCAGUCAAGAUCUUACCACCAGCGCUAGCUAGUCUGAGAUCUGGCUUGACUACUCGUGAAGCGGCACGUCAAUACAUCGCCCACUUUAAACGAAACAAGAGCCUAGGCAUUACUGUUAAAGGAUGUGACCAUUCGCUCUGUGAAGCUGACGCCAAGAGGGCUUUGGUUAACCAUUUCUCUUCCUGUGGCGAGAUCACUGAUGUUUUUGUUUUCAAAAGACGUGCUUUGGUCUACUUUUUCGGAUUUGGUGCAGUGGAAAAGGCUUUGAAGCUUUGUAAACCAAGUCAAAGACGUGUCACGGGGAAGAGCUUUCGUGUUAAAGCUAUGCCGAUACCGAAACGAUUGUUUGUUCAUGGCCCUAGGGACUGCCUUGAUACUCCUACUUGUUGAAGAUGGUCCUUUUGUUUUAGACAUUAUAAU